rnacentral:rRNA from 1 species
CUCACUUCAGGAGGGGGCUGCGGCCCAUCAGGUAGUUGGUGUGGUAACGGCGCACCAAGCCGACGACGGGUAGGGGGUCUGAGAGGAUGAUCCCCCACACUGGGACUGAGAGACGGCCCAGACUCCUACGGGAGGCAGCAGUGAGGGAUAUUGGUCAAUGGGGGAAACCCUGAACCAGCGACGCCGCGUGGGUGAAGAAGGUCUUCGGAUCGUAAAGCCCUUUUCCGCGUGAAGAGGAAGGACGGUAGCGCAGGAAGAAGUCUCGGCUAACUACGUGCCAGCAGCCGCGGUAAAACGUAGGAGACAAGCGUUAUCCGGAGUUACUGGGCGUAAAGGGCGUGUAGGCGGCUUUUUAAGUGGGUUGUGAAAGCGGCUGGCUCAACCAGCCGAGGCCGACCCAGACUGGAGAGCUGGAGGGCGGUAGAGGGGUGUGGAAUUCCGGGUGUAGUGGUGAAAUGCGUAGAGAUCCGGAGGAACACCAGAGGCGAAGGCGACACUCUAGGCCGCACCUGACGCUGAGACGCGACAGCACGGGGAGCGAACGGGAUUAGAA